rnacentral:rRNA from 1 species
AUUGAACGCUGGCGGCAUGCCUUACACAUGCAAGUCGAACGGCAGCACGGGGGCAACCCUGGUGGCGAGUGGCGAACGGGUGAGUAAUGCAUCGGAACGUGCCCAGUAGUGGGGGAUAACCAGUCGAAAGACUGGCUAAUACCGCAUACGACCCAAGGGUGAAAGCGGGGGACCGUAAGGCCUCGCGCUAUUGGAGCGGCCGAUGUCUGAUUAGCUAGUUGGCGGGGUAAGAGCCCACCAAGGCGACGAUCAGUAGCUGGUCUGAGAGGACGACCAGCCACACUGGGACUGAGACACGGCCCAGACUCAUACGGGAGGCAGCAGUGGGGAAUUUUGGACAAUGGGCGCAAGCCUGAUUCAGCCAUUCCGCGUGCAGGAUGAAGGCCUUCGGGUUGUAAACUGCUUUUGUACGGAACGAAACGGCUCUCUCUAAUACAGGGGGCUAAUGACGGUACCGUAAGAAUAAGCACCGGCUAACUACGUGCCAGCCGCCGCCGUAAAAC